rnacentral:ncRNA from 1 species
UAAGACACACGCCCGUCGGGCGAAAGGGAAUCCGGUUCCUAUUCCGGAACCCGGCAGCGGAACCGCAUACAAUUCGGGCCCUCGUAAGAGUGUUCGUCGGGGUAACCCAAAAUGACCUGGAGACGCCGUCGGGAGAUCCGGGAAGAGUUUUCUUUUCUGUAUAAGCGUUCGAGUUCCCUGGAAACCUCUAGCAGGGAGAUAGGGUUUGGAACGCGAAGAGCACCGCAGUUGCGGCGGUGUCCGGAUCUUCCCCUCGGACCUUGAAAAUCCAGGAGAGGGCCACGUGGAGGUGUCGCGCCGGUUCGUACCCAUAUCCGCAGCAGGUCUCCAAGGUAAAGAGCCUCUAGUCGAUAGAAUAAUGUAGGUAAGGGAAGUCGGCAAAUUGGAUCCGUAACUUCGGAAUAAGGAUUGGCUCUGAGGAGCGGGGCGUGUCGGGCUUGGUCGGGAAGCGGGUCUGGCUGACGUGCCGGGCCUGGGCGAGGUGAACGGUCGGCGUUCUCGCGCCGGUUUCGGGAUCCGAGCUCGGUCCCGUGCCUUGGCCUCCCGCGGAUCUUCCUUGCUGCGAGGCUUCCGUGGCGGCGCGAGCCGUCGUGGUCGUCCUCUUCGGCCGCCAUUCAACGCUCAGCUCAGAACUGGCACGGACUAGGGGAAUCCGACUGUCUAAUUAAAACAAAGCAUUGCGAUGGCCCUCGCGGGUGUUGACGCAAUGUGAUUUCUGCCCAGUGCUCUGAAUGUCAACGUGAAGAAAUUCAAGCAAGCGCGGGUAAACGGCGGGAGUAACUAUGACUCUCUU